rnacentral:rRNA from 1 species
AGUGAACGCUGGCGGUAGGCCUAACACAUGCAAGUCGAACGGCAGCACAGUAAGAGCUUGCUCUUACGGGUGGCGAGUGGCGGACGGGUGAGGAAUACAUCGGAAUCUACUUUUUCGUGGGGGAUAACGUAGGGAAACUUACGCUAAUACCGCAUACGACCUACGGGUGAAAGCAGGUGAUCUUCGGACCUUUCGCGAUUGAAUGAGCCGAUGUCGGAUUAGCUAGUUGGCGGGGUAAAGGCCCACCAAGGCGACGAUCCGUAGCUGGUCUGAGAGGAUGAUCAGCCACACUGGAACUGAGACACGGUCCAGACUCCUACGGGAGGCAGCAGUGGGGAAUAUUGGACAAAGGGCGCAAGCCUGAUCCAGCCAUACCGCGUGGGUGAAGAAGGCCUUCGGGUUGUAAAGCCCUUUUGUUGGGAAAGAAAAGCAGCAGGUUAAUACCCCGCUGUUCUGACGGUACCCAAAGAAUAAGCACCGGCUAACUUCGUG